GUCAUUUGUCAUUAUUAGUAAUAUUUGACGUUUUAUUUGGAGGUUAUAUAUCUGUUUUUGAAGUGGUCAAAACUCCAUAUUUUUUCGGAAUGUUUUAAGGAUUUUACUCAAAAUAUAUACUUCUGACUGAUGCAAAAUGGUUCGAAACUAUAAGAAAAAGCGAGAGAACGUAAUAAAUGAAGAUAAAAUUACGAAAGCAGUUUUCCAAGUCAUAAAUGGUCUUAUGAAACUAAGUGAAGCUUCAAAUGUAUACAAUGUGAAAGCUAAUACAUUGUUUUAUAGAGUGAAGCGUCACAAGGAGAAGUUCAAACCUAAAGCUGAAGAUUUUACGAGUAAACACACAGUCAACCAAGUAUUCGACAAUCAGGAAGAAAGAGUACUUGCUGGCUAUUUGUUAAAAUCAUCUAAGAUGAAUUACGGUUUUACAUAUAAACAGGCCAGAGAGUUAGCAUUUGAGUAUGCAACAGCAUUAAAGAAAUGCCCAAUAAAAUGGACAGAAAACAAAGAAGCAGGUAUUGACUGGCUAAAAGGAUUUAUGAAACGACACAGAGAACUUACACUUAGGAAACAUGAAAAUAAAAAAAAAAAAUCCAGAUCCACUAACUUCAACAAGCACAGCUGCGGUCAGUUGAUAACCAUGUGUGGUAAGUGCCAUCAGAAAUACUUUUCCUCCAGUUUUAUAUUUCCAAGAGCAAGGUUCAUGACUUCAUGCUUUUUGGGGGACUUUCUGGAAGCCUAUGAUUUGCAAAUAACCCCAAGAGUGGAUGACUGGCAAAUUGUUUCUUAAAGUUCAAGACCAUAUUAAGAAGUUAGUAAGAUGCACAAAUGAAGAUCAAAUAUUGAUAUAUAUCGAGAGCCACUGCACAAUAGACGCAAUAAGAUACUGUUGUGAAAAUGGGAUAGUCCUUGUAACACAUAAAAUUGCCAGCCUGUGGAUAUUGCAGUGAAUGGCACCUUCAAGAAAAAAUUGGUCUAUAGAAAAUGCAAUUUUAAAAGUGCUCCAGGCCAUUUCUUGUUUAUUUUUUCCUUGAGCAAGACAAAACUGUAAUCUGCUAUAGUAAUACAUAAUGUGGCAACCUACACGAGUUUUAGUGCAAAAACAUCAAAUACACAAUGAAAUAAAAGAUACAGUUGA